GUUCACGCCAGGACCGCGGCGGUGGUCAUACGGAGGGUCCAGGGGUGAUCCGGAAUGACUGGGCGUAAAGAGUUGCGGAGGGUGCAAAGUAUGUCUGGAGGGAAGGUGUUGGGCUCAACCUUAUACACAUUAUAGAAACUGCUUGGCUAGAGGACGAGAGAGGUUAUUGGAAUUCCCAGUGUAGGAGUGAAAUCCGUAGAUAUUGGGAGGAACACCGAUGGCGUAGGCAGAUAACUGGCUCGUUCCUGACACUAAGGCACGAAAGCGUGGGGAACAAACGGGAUUAGAUACCCCGGUAGC
rnacentral:rRNA from 1 species